CCCUACGGGGGGCAGCAGUGGGGGAUAUUGCACAAUGGGGGGAACCCUGAUGCAGCGACGCCGCGUGGGUGAAGAAGCGCCUCGGCGCGUAAAGCCCUGUCAGCAGGGAAGAAAGUGACGGUACCUGAAGAAGAAGCCCCGGCUAACUACGUGCCAGCAGCCGCGGUAAUACGUAGGGGGCAAGCGUUAUCCGGAUUUACUGGGUGUAAAGGGGGCGCAGACGGCGAUGCAAGCCAGGAGUGAAAGCCCGGGGCCCAACCCCGGGACUGCUCUUGGAACUGCGUGGCUGGAGUGCAGGUGGGGCG
rnacentral:rRNA from 1 species